CGACAUCCAAUAGCCUGAUCCGGGUUUUACUCAUCCCCCUUUCCUCACAGGAGAUCCCUCUGCUGAAGCACCGCGUAGACAGGGGUUAGCCACGGCUGUAAGAUCAUCACCAGAUACAAGUAGGACCGAGAUUUCCUCCUUUUACGCAUCUGCAGCAUCCAGUUCAUAUUCCCAGCUAGAACCACCGUGUAGCAACCAUGUCUGUAGCGGGGCUGAAGAAGCAAUUCCACAAAGCCACUCAGAAAGUGAGUGAGAAAGUUGGAGGGGCAGAAGGAACGAAGCUCGAUGACGACUUCACUGACAUGGAAAAGAAAAUGGACACCACCGCUCGGGCAGUGCUGGACAUCAUUACUAAGACUACUGAGUAUCUGCAGCCAAACCCAGCCACCAGAGCCAAGAUGAGCAUGAUGAACUCGAUGUCCCGUAUGCGGGGACAAGAGAAGGGUCCAGGCUACACGCAGACCGAAGCCAUCCUGGGAGAGUCCAUGCAGCGGUUUGGCAGGGAGCUCGGAGAGGAGUCCAACUUUGGCAAUGCUCUCAUUGAAGCUGGGGAAGCCAUGCGUGAGCUUGGAGAGGUUAAGGAUGCCCUGGACAUGGAGGUCAAGCAGAACUUCAUCGACCCGAUGCAGAACCUCCACGAAAAAGAUCUCAAGGAGAUUCAGCAUCACCUGAAGAAAAUGGAGGGUCGUCGUCUGGACUUUGACUAUAAGAAGAAGCGCCAGGGCAAAGUGACGGACGACGAACUCAAACAGGCACUCGAGAAGUUCGAUGACUCCAAGGAGAUCGCUGAGCAAAGCAUGUUCAACCUGAUUGAGAGCGAUAUCGAACAGGUGAGCCAGCUGGCUGCUCUGGUGCAUGCUCAGGUGGAGUACCACAGCCGCGCUGCUGAGAUCCUCACACAGCUCUCCAGCAAGAUCGAUGAACGGAUAAGGGAUACUUCUGUCAAACCGAGGAAAGAGUUUGCUCCUAAACCACGGACGUCUCUGGACUUCUCCAUCAGUGAGAACCACAAUGGAGGCAUCCACAAUGCUCGCUCUCCAGGGGCGAGGUCUCCAGCAAUAUCUCCAGGUGAGCCAAAAGUGAAUCCCUGGAGAGAUACAACAAUAUCUCCUCCGUCACUUCGUCAUUUUUUUGUGUCCAUCUCUCAUUGUUACUUAUGGUACAAAUUAACAGCAGAAAAACAAAUGCCGUCCGCUCGCUGCACAAAGAGUGCUCGACCUACAGAAACAAUGAAAAGCUUUACCAGCGGACGAGCAUUUGCUGUUUCUGUUUUGUUCUCUUGUCAGUUGUUCUGAUCCGUCUUACCCUCCUGUUUCUUUGUCAGUCCGCCUUCUCUGCCAAGUCAUCGUCAAACGUGUUUUUCUUCUUGUUUUGUUUAUUGACCUUUUCAUUUCUCCGCCUGUUGUACUUACCCAUCAUUUCAUCACUUACCCUUCAAAACAAAUAAACGUAAAGCUUCUGCACUUUUUUUCACCUAUGCUUUCUUCUUUACCCUUUGCAGCAAGAUCUCCAGGUGAGCAAAGGGGGACUUCGAAAGGGAUGCAAAAUCUCACUCUCCACUCUUUUUGUUAUCCUUCCUUAAAUUGACUUUUGUGGAAGUGUAUUUUUGUCUGCAUUUCUGUUGGCAGCGCAGCUCGUUUGCAAUGCUGUUUCUGUCUAACGCCUGGUUUCUCUUUUGACCCUUUUUUCAAUCAAAUUGUUAAUCUUUCUUUUAUUUUUAAAGGAAUAGCACAGCAUUUUGGGAUGUGUGAAUUGUAUUUUUAAACAUGGUUUGGUACAGAUCAAACAAUCAAAAUGUAACGUGUUAAUUAGUGAGACUUAGAGGUGCUGAAGGAAGUCCCUCCAACGCAUUGUACUUAAGCUUUGUUGAGAACCGUUGAAGUAGCUGUUUGCCACAAGGGGCAAUAGAGUCUAUCGGCACUUAAACACAAGUGAUAUCAAGUGAUAACACUGAAAAUACAGAUGUAGACUCUGUGAGUUCACCCAUAGGUUUCUGAAAAGCCGUAGUGAAGUUGAAAGUGGGCAUCUCCGGCCGUCGCCAUCUUUGUGAUGGUGCCUUUGUGUAACUCCCAGACACAAUCUAAAAUUGGGCAUCAAGUAUGACAUUGAGACAGCGCAGGCAGCAAGUUAUUGGUGACCUGAGGCGGCACCCAGCUGUAAGUCAUAGCUGAAGCGCUGAUUAUAAGGCAUACAUUUAAGACCUAAUGAGAUGAAAAAAUUCCCUAUGUGUAGAUUUCAUAAAGGGAAAAGUUAGUUAUAGAGAUCAAAACUGUUUUCAUACCAUGCUUAAACAUGUUUUAUCUGCUGUAAAGUUGGCCAUUUAACAUGGAGGUCUGUCAGAAAUAGCUCCCAUUAGGAGACAUUUGUGUAACUGCAGUUUUUGGCACUUUCACAUUGGUCCUAGAAAUAGGACGAGGCUGAAGAUUAGUCGACUGGUUGGUUGGCUAUAUGUCUUGUUAAUUGUCAGAUCUCCAUUUAAAAGUGCAAAUCCUUAAAUGCUUAAAGGCAUAUUUCAGAAAAUGUAGAACUAUUCCUUUAAAAAUUGGACGCCUCUUUGAUAUAUUCCGGUCACUGAUAGUCAUGUUCUCCUUUGCUUUGUCUCCUCCUCUUCUUCCUCUUCCCUUUCCCUCUUUCAGCCAGGUCUCCAGCCCCGAUGGACCAGCCCUGCUGUCGUGCACUGUACGAUUUUGACCCAGAGAACCAAGGUGAGCUAGGCUUCAAGGAAGGCGAUAUCAUCACCCUGACCAAUAAGAUCGAUGACAACUGGUACGAGGGGAUGCUGCACGGCAACUCCGGCUUCUUCCCCAUCAACUAUGUGGAUAUCCUGGUGCCGCUGCCCAACUAAGAUUCCACUGCUACCAGCUGUAUCUGUAACGAUGGCGAAACAGAUCCUUGAUCUCCAGUCCUCCCCUCUCUAAGUAUUCCGGGUAACCUUUUCCCCUUAACAUUCCUACCAACAACCUGUACUCCACCUAAAGGAGUCAAAACAGCAACAACACAAAAAACGAACGAAGAUUGGCGAAGUAUUAAAGCAAGUAUGCACCAAUUGAGCGUAAAAACUUGAAGUAAGGAAACAUCUGCGUGUAUGUUGUUGCUUCCCCCCCCCCCCCCCCCGUAUCCCAGGAGGUGCGUUCAGGCUCCCGGAGUCGUUUUAUCCAUUUCUGUCCCGGCUUUUGUCUCGGUUUGAGUUGGCUGUCAGUCCAUCAUGAUUUCCAGAGCAGCGUUACAAAAUCACAAUUUUCUGUCAUUCACUGUACUUUGUGGAAACCUCUUCAGUAGAUAGAUACUUUUCUCUCACAUACUAGAAAAAAAAAAAAAGGGUCCACGUGCUUCAUGUUUGUUAGAGACUUUAGGUCAAGCAUGGUUUCAAGUGUUUAACGUUUUAUCUUACGAACAAAUAUGUUGAACUCAUUUUGUUUUGUUUCUGGUAGUCCUCUUUUUAAUGGUAGUUGUCUCUCGGCAUCCAUAUGAUGUCCUCCAUAUUAACCAUACAGAGUUUUGACAAAGGUUGUAGACUACAUUCAUCUAGCUGAUAACUAACAACCAAGAUUACCUAUUGUAUUUUUAUUUUUGAAAAUAUUAACAUGUGCACGUAAUUGGUUAUAUGUGAUUUAGAUACCAAAGUUACCUGCAAAAAGCCAGAGUCAACGCCAAUGUUAGCUUCAGGAUUCCCAGACAGCGAGAUGUCGGUGAAUCUGUUCGACGCCGCAUGGUGAAGCUUCGCAAUCUCUAGUUCUUUGGUAUUUUUAUCAGGAGAGAAAGCUGUUUUCUUGAGUAUGUGACAUUACCUAUCUGAGCCAGUGAUUAGUGGAGUGAUGACAUGAUUUGCAAAAACACAAGUUGUGAAGUUUAAACAGUUUGAAGUGAUGUAAGAAAACCAUGGUGCAUAAGUUUCAAAUCCUCCAACAUGUAUUUUAUCAGCAGCUUGUGUGAAAAAUGGUCGGUGUAUUGUGAUAUAAUAAUUUAUAGGACUUAACUGCUCGUUGGGGUAACUGUUUCUUCUGCAGCUGAAGACGUAGCUCUUUUUACUGCAUCCCUACUACUCCCGAUAGUAAUCUGUAGAUUAGCAGUUUAUGAGCCAAUGAUUAGGACUAAACUAGACAGGAGUGCACAAAUGUCUGAACGGAAUGAGAAGUCAUUUCUUUUUCUCUUGGUGGAAAUUUUGUAUUAAUUGGUAUGAUGAAACUUACACUAAAAACCUCCUUUCUGCAACUGAAUAACGACUGACAUGUUAGAUCUCUGAAAAACUGCAGGAUUAUAUACAUCGUGUUUCCCCUCACCGGCUUUACGGGUGUAUGCAGUAUUGUGUGGGAUUUUCUCUCCCUUUCUUUAAGAUAAUCUAAAACACUCAGUUAUUACAGUACAUGUUAUAGUCAGCUGAGCAGAUAGGUGCUGUUGUGCACACAUUAUCCCCUGGGAUUUAUUUCCUGCAAUAUCUACAAUGUAUUAACCCUUCUGCAAAAUAAUCUGUGCUGCAGUAAACACUAUUUUCUCACCCAUCUUGUACUAAUGUAGUGCGUGUGCUUCGGGGGAGGGGUUUGGUGAAUGUUAUGCACAGGGACGGGGUUUCAGAGGACCUCUAAAGCUGAGGUGUUUAAGAUAUACUGUUUCUGACAGUGUUCCACACUAAAACAAACAUGGAUGUCUCUUUAAACAUUAUAUUCAGUAGGAUUACAAUAAACGAUGCAAAACCAACUAAAACCCAUAUUAAGUGUUUUGUUUUUUUAAGGGAAGCACAACAGACAGUUUAUUUGUUGGCAGGGGAAGAAUAACAGUUUAAAGGUCAUGUAUUUAUUUAUUUAUUUUGUAAAAGGCGAAACAUUCCUUCCUUCUUUUUCUCUUUCACUUUUUUUUAACAAUCGUGUGUAUCUUUGCCCUCAAUGAGGACUGUACAGCUUUUCUGUGUUUUGUUUUCACCUUGUGUGUAUAGUCGCGCAUCUACAGUAACGUAUCUUAUUUUUGUAACUGUGACAAAAGUAUACACAUACAGUAUAGAUGUAUAUAUACAGUAUAUUAUCCAAAAGCAAUGUGAAAGGAGGGAUUCUCUGUGCUGCACAUGAUUGUCUUCGGAUUGUUUUUGGUUUUCUUUGUUGGUUUUCUGUUUUGUUUUAUUUUAUUCUUGCACUGGAUUCUAAGACUGUAUGCUUGAUGUAAAGAAAACAAUGUGAUAAGUCAAUGUAAUUUAUUCAAAUAAAUACAAAGAAAUGGUUA